rnacentral:rRNA from 1 species
AUUGAACGCUGGCGGAAUGCUUUACACAUGCAAGUCGAACGGCAGCACGGACUUCGGUCUGGUGGCGAGUGGCGAACGGGUGAGUAAUAUAUCGGAACGUGCCCAGUCGUGGGGGAUAACGUAGUGAAAAUUACGCUAAUACCGCAUACGAUCUAAGGAUGAAAGCGGGGGAUCGCAAGACCUCGCGCGAUUGGAGCGGCCGAUAUCAGAUUAGGUAGUUGGUGGGGUAAAGGCUCACCAAGCCAACGAUCUGUAGCUGGUCUGAGAGGACGACCAGCCACACUGGAACUGAGACACGGUCCAGACUCCUACGGGAGGCAGCAGUGGGGAAUUUUGGACAAUGGGGGAAACCCUGAUCCAGCCAUUCCGCGUGUGCGAUGAAGGCCUUCGGGUUGUAAAGCACUUUUGGCAGGAAAGAAAUCGCACAAAUUAAUACUUUGUGUGGAUGACGGUACCUGCAGAAUAAGCACCGGCUAACUACGUGCCAGCAGCCGCGGUAAUACGUAGGGUGCAAGCGUUAAUCGGAAUUACUGGGCGUAAAGCGUGCGCAGGCGGUUCGGAAAGAGAGGUGUGAAAUCCCAGGGCUUAACCUUGGAACUGCACUUUUAACUCCCGAGCUAGAGUAUGUCAGAGGGGGGUGGAAUUCCGCGUGUAGCAGUGAAAUGCGUAGAUAUGCGGAGGACACCGAUGGCGAAGCAGCCCUCUGGGAUAAUACUGACGCUCAUGCACGAAAGCGUGGGGAGCAAACAGGAUUAGAUACCCUGGUAGUCCACGCCCUAAACGAUGUCAACUAGCUGUUGGGGGCUUCGGCCCUUAGUAGCGCAGCUAACGCGUGAAGUUGACCGCCUGGGGAGUACGGUCGCA